GGAAGAUAGGACCCAACUUGAUUAGUGAGGCUAAAGGAGGACAGGAUCUAAUCACAAGACAAUGCCAAAUUAACAUUGGGGAGUUCAGUAUUGAGUGGUUUUCUACAUUUCAAUGGUCUCCCGACUUAAUCUUAUUAAGGCUACUUUCAGGUUUCCUGUUUACAAAUUCAUGAUAUUCUGCAGGUGAUCUCAACAUAAUUUUCAAAAAGGACCUAUUAACAAAUAUUGAGCACCUGUGAAGUAUAUGGCAAUGGUAAGAUUAUGUAGAUUCAGUAGUGAACAAAGUUUCUGUCUUUAUGGAGUUAACAUUCUAGUGGACACUUAAUUUUGGCAUGUCCACCAUGAUACUUUUAUAAAAGGCCUGAGAAAAAUUUCACUCUUAACACCCCUCUUCUAAGUAACAUUUUAUAAAGGUCAAGGUUCUGACUAAAGAAGCCCUUGCUAUGCUAAUCAUAAAGAUUGUUUUGUUGUCUUUGGACCACUGGGACAUGAGGAGCUACGGCUGAAACACUGACUUUGAGACUUGAUAACUGGAAGAAUUCAAAUGACACGAGUCUUCACAAAGAAUCAUUUUAUAGAUUUUUUUUCCUGUGUGGAUUCUCUGAUGUUCUUACCACCCCUAUUACUUUUAUAGGAUUUAUCACCAACAUGGAUUCUGUGAUGAACUGUAAGAUUUGAUCGCCAACUGAAGCUCUUACCACAUAUCUCACAUUUAUAAGGUUUCUCCCCAGUGUGAACUCGCUGAUGAGACUGUAGUUGUGAAGACCGACUGAAGACUUUACCACACACAUCACAUUUGUAUGGUUUCUCUCCUGUGUGGACACUCUGAUGAAGUUGAAGACUUGAGGCCUGACUGAAGUACUUACCACACUCCCCACAUUUAUAUGGUUUUUCUCCUGUGUGCACCCUCUGAUGCAUGUCAAGGUUCAAGCUCCACUUGAAGCCCUUCCCACACUCAUCACAUUUGUAUGGCUUAUCUCCAGUGUGGACUUUUUGAUGGGCUUGAAGAUGUGCACUCCGACCGAAACUCUUCCCACAUUCUUCACAUUUGAAUGGUUUUUCUCCACUGUGGACUCUCUGAUGGGCCAAAAGAUUUGAGGCCUGCCUGAAGACCUUCCCACACUCCUCACAAUUAUAUGGUUUCUCUCCUGUGUGGAUCCUACAGUGAAUUUUAAGAUCUGCUCUACGACUAAAUCCCUUGCCACACUCUUCACAUUUGUAUGGUUUCUCACCCGUAUGGAUCAGCUGGUGAAUCUGAAGUCGUGAGCUCUGAUUGAAACCCUGCCCACACUCCUCACACUUAAAAGGUUUCUCUAUACUGUGGGCCUUCUGAUGGAUUUGAAGAUACGAACUUUGACUGAAGCCCUUCCCACAUAUCUCACAUUUAUAGGGUUUCUCUCCUGUGUGGACCACUAGAUGAACUUGAUAAUGGGAAUUCCUCCUGAAGCUCUUCCCACACUCAUUGCAUUUGUAUGGCUUCUCUCCAGUGUGGACUCUCUGAUGGGCUUGAAGAUUUGAACUCAGAGUAAAGCCUUUCCCACAUACAGUACAUAUGUAUGACUUCUCUCCAGUGUGAACUCCCUGAUGGGCCUGAAGACUUGAAGGCCGACUAAAGCCUUUACCACAUUCCUCACAUUUAUAGGGUUUUUCUCCUGUGUGGACUCUCUGAUGAAUGUAAAGAUUUGAGCUACAAAUGAAGCCCUUACCACACUCCUCACAUUUGUAUGGUUUCUCUCCUGUAUGAACUCUUUGAUGGGAUUGAAGAUGUGAAUUCCGACUGAAGCUCUUACCACAUGCAUCACAUUUGUAUGGUUUCUCUCCUGUGUGGACACUCUGAUGAAGUUGGAGACUUGAGGCCUGACUGAAGUGCUUCCCACACUCCCCACAUGUAUAGGGUUUUUCUCCUGUGUGCACCCUCUGAUGCAUGUCAAGGUUCAAGCUCCACUUGAAGCCCUUUCCACACUCCCCACAUUUGUAUGGCUUUUCUCCAGUGUGGACUUUUUGAUGGGCUUGAAGGUGUGCACUCCGACUGAAGCUCUUCCCACACUCUUCACAUUUAAAUGGUUUUUCCCCACUGUGAACUCUCUGAUGGGUUAGAAGAUGCGAGGCCUGACUGAAGACCUUCCCACACUCCUCACAAUUAUAUGGUUUCUCCCCUGUGUGGAUCCUACAAUGAAUUUUAAGAUCUGCUCUACGACUAAAUCCCUUUCCGCACUCUUCACAUUUGUAUGGUUUCUCUCCUGUGUGGACCAUGCAAUGAUUAUUAAGUGCUGAUCUACGACGGAAGUUCUUACCACAUGUAUCACAUUUGAAUGGUUUCUCCCCAGUAUGAAUUCUCUGAUGUUCCUGAAGAUGGGAAGCAUGUAUGAAGGCCCUUCCACAUUCCUCACAAUUGUAAGGUUUCUCUCCUGAGUGUAAUUUGCAAUGUACAGUAAGUGUUGAUCUACGACUGAAGCCUUUCCCACAUUCCACACAUUUGAAUGGUUUCUCUACAGUGUGGACUCUCUGAUGAGUUUGAAGAUGUGAGCUCUGACUAAAUUCCUUACCACACACGUCACACUUAUAGCAUUUCUCUCCCAUGUGGACUCUUUGAUGAAUAUGAAGGGCUGAGAUGUAACAGAAGCUUUUUCCACACUCAUCACAUGUAUGAGACUUCUCUCCUGAGUGUAACUGUUGAUGAAG
rnacentral:lncRNA from 1 species